rnacentral:rRNA from 1 species
GACGAACGCUGGCGGCGUGCUUAACACAUGCAAGUCGAACGGAAAGGCCCUGCUUUUGUGGGGUGCUCGAGUGGCGAACGGGUGAGUAACACGUGAGUAACCUUCCCUUGACUUUGGGAUAACUUCAGGAAACUGGGGCUAAUACCGGAUAGGAGCUCCUGCUGCUUGGUGGGGGUUGGAAAGUUUCGGCGUUUGGGGAUGGACUCGCGGCUUAUCAGCUUGUUGGUGGGGUAGUGGCUUACCAAGGCUUUGACGGGUAGCCGGCCUGAGAGGGUGACCGGCCACAUUGGGACUGGGGUACGGCCCAGACUCCUACGGGAGGCAGCGGUGAGAAAUAUUGCACAAUGGGCGGAAGCCUGAUGCAGCAACGCCGCGUGCGGGAUGACGGCCUUCGGGUUGUAAACCGCUUUCGCCUGUGACGAAGCGUGAGUGACGGUAAUGGGUAAAGAAGCACCGGCUAACUACGUG